CUGGGACAGACGGACAACGAGGAUGGAUCCCAGCACUGCUAUAGGGCAGAGACCUGGAGCUGCAGCAUCUCCACAGCCAAGGAUUGCCAUGGAAUAAAGCAAUCCCCAAAUUUAGGCCUUUUAUUGGGAAUGGCUCAAUCCAGCAGGGAAGGAUAAGGAAUAAACACCCCCGGAGAAAGGGGAACAUUCCUGGAGCAUCCCCACGGCCUCCUCUGGAUUCACUCCAUCAAUCCCACAUCGCUCCAGGGAGGAUCCAGCAGGAUCCUGGAAUUCCAGGGCUGUGCCCAUCACCCCUGGCAGCGCUGGAUUUUCCUCAUUCCGCUCGGAUCCCGCCUCAGCGGCCGCCUGUGGAUCCUGGAAGAAUUAAUCCCAACUGUUGUGAGCGAGGCGCGGCGCGCUUGUAACGGCGGGCCGCUAAUUAGGGCCCUGUAAUUGGAUCCAGCGCUGCCUGUAAAUCCAAUUACCUGGGAUUAGAGCUGUGCCGCGGCUCCGGAUCCUUCCCACUCCUUAAACUUUAUCCCAGGAAAGCUGGGAAGGUCUCCAGCUCCUUAUCACAGCCCCAAAAUCCUUCUCCCCAUUCCUUUUCUCCUGCCGGGAUGAGGGAAAAUGGGAAAGUUUCCAGCUCAUUAUUACAGCCCCAAAAUUCCCCCAAAUCU